ACCGUUCACGUUACGGUUCGCACGAAUCGAACACAUUUUACUGAUUUACCAGGUCUUUGAGAGCAAUAAUUGAACAAACAGACCAUGUCAGAAUUUGAUGUGGAGACAGCUUUAUCCAGCGCCAGAGAUCCAGAAUCUGAUCGGGGAGAAGAAUCUAAUGAAGAAAAGUUGACCUUUGACAAUCCUGAUCCUGAGGUAAAAGGUCAUCAACACGAAGUAACAGUGAAG